rnacentral:lncRNA from 1 species
UUGGUAGUGGUCCUAUCAUGUCUAGCCUUCAGCAAGCAAAAGGCCAUGUUGGAGGGAUUGUGACUAGUUUUUAGGCAGGGACAUGUUGCUGUUUAGUGAAGAAUUGACAGCCUUGGCAUUUUUGGACUAAUUGUUUUGCAUCUGGCAACGCCAUGGGCUAGUAGAAGCCUGCUCGGAAAGCCUUGCCUACUAUUGUUUGUGAAGAUACAUGGUUGCCAUAGAUUCCUUUGUGAAUUUCUUCUAGGAUGUCGUGGUCAUCUUCUCGGGUGACACACUUCAUGGGUACCCCUGAUGAUGCACUUUUCCUGUAGAGCUUGUCUCCGACUAGAAUGUAGUUUUUUCCUCAUUGGGAAACUUGCUCAGCUUGACUUUUGUCAGAUGGUAACUUAUGGUC